rnacentral:rRNA from 1 species
CAGCACCUCAAGUGGUCAGGAUGAUUAUUGGGCCUAAAGCAUCCGUAGCCUGCUUUGUUAGUUUUCGGUUAAAUCCAUAUGCUCAACGUAUGGGCUGCCGGAAAUACUGCAAAGCUAGGGAGUGGGAGAGGUAGACGGUACUCGGUAGGAAGGGGUAAAAUCCUUUGAUCUAUUGAUGACCACCUGUGGCGAAGGCGGUCUACCAGAACACGUCCGACGGUGAGGGAUGAAAGCUGGGGGAGCAAACCGGAUUAGAUACCCGAGUAGUCC